rnacentral:ncRNA from 1 species
CCCGAAAGAUGGUGAACUAUGCCUGAGCGGGGCGAAGCCAGAGGAAACUCUGGUGGAGGCUCGAAGCGAUACUGACGUGCAAAUCGUUCGUCUGACUUGGGUAUAGGGGCGAAAGACUAAUCGAACCCUCUAGUAGCUGGUUCCCUCCGAAGUUUCCCUCAGGAUAGCUGGAGCCCAUUACGAGUUCUAUCAGGUAAAGCCAAUGAUUAGAGGCAUUGGGGACGCAACGUCCUCGACCUAUUCUCAAACUUUAAAUAGGUAGGAUGGCUCGGC